ensembl:lncRNA
GGAAGAGCGAUGGAAAUAAAGGCGGCACAAGUGGAUGAAUUGUUUUGUAUGCGAGCAGUAUGUCUGUGUGAGUCACUACUGCACUCAGUGGCCUUUCGGCUGACACUUAUCUUGUUCUGUUUCUCUGCAGCUCUAUGUUUAUUCAUGUUUAUAAGCCAUAGCCAUAUCUGCAAGGCCAGAGUUCACUGUUUGUCAUCCAAAAGACAAACAGCUCACAUCUUAUGGUUGCGGAGUGAAUCUGGGUAUGCAAGGACUGGAGUCAAUGGGGACGUUCAUUUACCAGACAGCCACAGCUGUGGACCAGAACGAUGUUCUAGAGGCACUGUCUGCUAAAAUGCAACACUCCAGACAGGUGGCCGAGAGCUUCAAGCAGACAGGCCUGGCUCAAUCAAUUUAUGAAUGAAACACGAGGACGGGCAGGUGAAUGCAUAGUGCCCCCUAGUGGGAAGUGGUGGUGGAUUGUUUGUGUUUACACUGAAUGUUUACAAUGAAUCACUGUUGAUUACACACUGAAAGCAGAUGAACGGACGUGAUCUUUGCCUGGAUGAAUACAGGGUGUAAAGAUGUGACCACAAGUCGUUGUGAUGUACAAUGGGUGGAGCUAUUUAAUUAUGCAUGGAGCACACAUGCCAUGGACACAUUUGCUACGAGGCCUUUGAAGUUCUGUUUUUUCAGGUUGCAAAGCUCGUCAAUUCAAACAGAUGCAGAUGAGAUCUGACACAAUCUACAGUACAUUGUCUAUUAAUGCACUGCACUGGAUUUGGAUUCCUCUGUUAAGUGUCAGAACGAACCGGAUGAGGAGUUUCCUAAAUCUAGUCCAUUGUGUUCUCUUAACAUCGGUGUAAUGAGACUGUUGUGCAGCAACAUCAACAGGAGCUGAAUAAUGCAUUAAACUGUUAUUGUAUGUGAUUUAACAGAGGAGCACAUGUGUAGAAUCUGAUAUCCAGUCUAUCGUGCCGUUUGUCCUUGUGUUUUGCGUGGCGCAAACUGUGUUGAUGACGUUGUGAAGUAUGUGUGUGCUCUUUUUUGUGUACUUUUUAAGCAGGUUUCAAAAGCUCCCAUUAAAUAGGGCAAUUGUAAUAUCACAAACUAAUUUGGCUGGUGUCACAUUCAUUUCUAAAGAACUGAAGUGACAUUUGAGAGAUUGGGAGUAUAAUAAAAUCCUGCUCCUGUUGAAGUGCCAAUAAAUGUGGUGGUUGGGUAUAAGUUAUAUGGAUCGUCUUUACAUAGAACCCCUGUAUGUUUAAUUGGAGAUGAACGCAAUUUAACAAAGGUUAAAGCAACCAGUGUAGGAACUUGUUAGGGGUUUACAAAGAUUUUUGCAAAUCAAAUGAAAAUAAAAUGAAAAAAAACGAUGAGCCUUAAAACAGACUUAUCUUUUCAGAGUCCGAUUACUCCGUAAGCAGAAAGUUUGACAUGCUGUUGUAAAUAACUAUAUAUUUGUGAGCUGCACCCCAUUUAGACAGAACGGUAUCAUGUGUUGUUUCCAUAAUAGUUGAUAUGAGGCACUGCUGCCCUCUACUGGUGCAGCCUGUCUGUUGCACCUGCUUAGCCUCAAACUUCCACACCUGACUAAUCUCUUGUAUUUUAAGUGUAAUCGAUCCCUUAAAUAUAACUUAAGCCCACUGAUGGAACUGAGAGGGGCCCAGGAUCGUCCGAUAGGACACAAGUUGCCUUUCUGGUAUUCUUUUCUUUGGUAAAGCACUUUGUAAAAUUGUUUAGAAACAAAUGAUUAAGGGUAUUUUUAUGGCAUACUAUACUAGUACAUAUUCCAUGACACUUUUUGUAAUGUCACGCUGUACAUUGGUAUUUCCUAUAGCCUUUCUUUUCCUAUUUUACUAUCAGGUAUUUUAAGAACUUUUUGUGAAAUUUGAUUUAAUUACAAUUUCAUUUUUAACUCUU